rnacentral:rRNA from 1 species
CCUACGGGAGGCAGCAGUGAGGAAUAUUGGUCAAUGGGCGGAAGCCUGAACCAGCCAAGUAGCGUGCAGGAUGACGGCCCUACGGGUUGUAAACUGCUUUUAUACGGGAAUAACGCGCCUUACGUGUAGGCCUUUGCAUGUACCGUAUGAAUAAGGACUGGCUAAUCCCGUGCCAGCCGCCGCGGUAAUACGGAAGGUCCGGGCGUUAACCGGAUUUAUUGGGUGUAAAGGGAGCGUAGGCCGGAUGUCAAGCGUGCUGUGAAAUGUCAGGGCUCAACCCGGGCCUUGCAGCGCGAACUGGCGUGCUUGAGUCCGCGGAAGGCAGGCGGAAUUCGUGGUGUAGCGGUAAAAUGCUUAGAUAUGACGAAGAACCCCGAUUGCGAAGGCAGCUUGCUGCAGCGGAACUGACGCUGAUGCUCGAAAGCGCGGGUAUCGAACAGGAUUAGAUACCCUUGUAGUC